AUGAACGCUAGCUACAGGCUUAACACAUGCAAGUCGAGGGGCAGCAUUUUAGUUUGCUUGCAAACUGAAGAUGGCGACCGGCGCACGGGUGAGUAACGCGUAUCCAACCUGCCGAUAACUCCGGAAUAGCCUUUCGAAAGAAAGAUUAAUACCGGAUGGCAUACGAAUAUCGCAUGAUAUUUUUAUUAAAGAAUUUCGGUUAUCGAUGGGGAUGCGUUCCAUUAGUUUGUUGGCGGGGUAACGGCCCACCAAGACUACGAUGGAUAGGGGUUCUGAGAGGAAGGUCCCCCACAUUGGAACUGAGACACGGUCCAAACUCCUACGGGAGGCAGCAGUGAGGAAUAUUGGUCAAUGGGCGAGAGCCUGAACCAGCCAAGUAGCGUGAAGGAUGAAGGCUCUAUGGGUCGUAAACUUCUUUUAUAUGGGAAUAAAGUUUUCCACGUGUGGAAUUUUGUAUGUACCAUAUGAAUAAGGAUCGGCUAACUCCGUGCCAGCAGCCGCGGUAAUACGGAGGAUCCGAGCGUUAUCCGGAUUUAUUGGGUUUAAAGGGAGCGUAGGUGGAUUGUUAAGUCAGUUGUGAAAGUUUGCGGCUCAACCGUAAAAUUGCAGUUGAAACUGGGAGUCUUGAGUACAGUAGAGGUGGGCGGAAUUCGUGGUGUAGCGGUGAAAUGCUUAGAUAUCACGAAGAACUCCGAUUGCGAAGGCAGCUCACUAGACUGUCACUGACACUGAUGCUCGAAAGUGUGGGUAUCAAACAGGAUUAGAUACCCUGGUAGUCCACACAGUAAACGAUGAAUACUCGCUGUUUGCGAUAUACAGUAAGCGGCCAAGCGAAAGCAUUAAGUAUUCCACCUGGGGAGUACGCCGGCAACGGUGAAACUCAAAGGAAUUGACGGGGGCCCGCACAAGCGGAGGAACAUGUGGUUUAAUUCGAUGAUACGCGAGGAACCUUACCCGGGCUUAAAUUGCAACAGAAUAUAUUGGAAACAGUAUAGCCGUAAGGCUGUUGUGAAGGUGCUGCAUGGUUGUCGUCAGCUCGUGCCGUGAGGUGUCGGCUUAAGUGCCAUAACGAGCGCAACCCUUAUCUUUAGUUACUAACAGGUUAUGCUGAGGACUCUAGAGAGACUGCCGUCGUAAGAUGUGAGGAAGGUGGGGAUGACGUCAAAUCAGCACGGCCCUUACGUCCGGGGCUACACACGUGUUACAAUGGGGGGUACAGAAGGCGGCUACCUGGUGACAGGAUGCUAAUCCCAAAAACCUCUCUCAGUUCGGAUCGAAGUCUGCAACCCGACUUCGUGAAGCUGGAUUCGCUAGUAAUCGCGCAUCAGCCAUGGCGCGGUGAAUACGUUCCCGGGCCUUGUACACACCGCCCGUCAAGCCAUGAAAGCCGGGGGUACCUGAAGUACGUAACCGCAAGGAGCGUCCUAGGGUAAAACUGGUAAUUGGGGCU
rnacentral:rRNA from 1 species